GCCUAACCAACUAAACGGGCCUUUUAGUUGGGAGCAAACUGAAUCCCACAUUGUCUAGUUACAUGUAAGUUUUAGGUUUAUAACCGCAAACGAGCGAAGACAAGAGCGUCCCUUCGGGGACAUCCGAUAAAAUUGGAACGAUACAGAGAAGAUUAGCAUGGCCCCUGCGCAAGGAUGACACGCACAAAUCGAGAAAUGGUCCAAAUUUUUUUUUCUCCUUUCCCAAAUUCCAUCCAUGGCUUUCUCUCAUUUUUUUUCUCCUUUCCCAAAUUCCAUCAAUGGCUUUCUCUCAGUUAUCUUCUCCGUUUUCCGGGCUCAAAUCACCAGGUUCCAACAGUAUUGAAUUUCCACCACAGGCCAUUUUUUACAUUGGCAUCAAUCUCCAUUUGCAUUGAAGUUCAGAUUCUCUCUCAGCUCCACCACUUGGUAGUGUGGUUCUUCCCACAUUUCCCUUCCUCGAGUGGGAGUUUUAGAUCAGACUGCAGUGCAUGGCCAUUCUCUGGAAGGAGAUUUUGGGAUCUGAAAUUGCAUACCGGAUGAAUUGUGUUGCUCAAUGUCCGGCCCCAAAUGGCGAGAGUUUGGAUUCUGGUGGCGUUUUGUUUGCAAAUUUUGAUUCGAGAUCCAUAGUCCGCACUAUUGGGUAAAAAGCCCUGGAACAAGUUUGCUUUGAAGAGUAAAAUUGUUGAGAGUUUCGAAGGUAAGAUGAGCUGCUUUAUCAGCAGGCGAUAUUUCUGUGAGAAGGAAAGAGAGCACCUUUGCAGAUUACAAGAACCAUGGAGAGGGGCAUGUUUACUUGGUUUAUGAAUGCAAACUUGGCUCUGUACGUUUGUGAUUGAGAUACCGAUCUCUUGUUUGAAUGAUGCCAUUAAAGCCUCGUAGCAUGGUAAUGAAAUUAACAUAAAUAUGGAAAAUUUCAGGUGCAUCUGUAGUUGUACAUAUUGAAUGUGGAAACACUAUACUUUAACAUUUAAGUGAAUUUUAUCA